rnacentral:misc_RNA from 1 species
UCUCCGUAGGUGAACCUGCGGAAGGAUCAUUACAGAGUUCAUGCCCUACCGGGUAGAUCUCCCACCCUAUGUUAUUAUUACUUUGUUGCUUUGGCGGGCCGUUAGGCUCCGGCCCGACUACCGGCCCCGGCUGGUAAGCGCCCGCCAGAGGACCCAAAACCCUGAAUAUUAGUGUCGUCUGAGUACUAUAUAAUAGUUAAAACUUUCAACAGCGGAUCUCUUGGUUCUG